GUUUUCUUAACAACAUGCUAGUUACAAUUCAUUGUGUGUUAUACAAGCACCGAUACCCAUGAUACAUCUUAAAACUUCUAUACUCAGACAAAGGAGAUUUUUUUUCCAUUAUGAAAACUGCCAGAAAAGCAAAUUUUCAUUUGGAACGAAUGUCCUUAUGGAUGCAGCCAGAUGCCAGCGGAGCCAGAUGCCAGCAGAGACAGCGAUGAGCACAGGAGCCAUACAUGUCACUAACCACGACUUACACCUCGCUGCAUCACGCUCUCUUCAAUUUGUGGAGUGCUUCUUUCAAUCAUAAAAGCAACACAAUCAUUAAAGGCUGCAGACUACAACAGCAAAGAUUUUGACUGUUAAAAAUAUAAAUAAAUUUAUUUUUCAAAUCAAAAUUAUUAUAAAAGUGGAAAUUACAGUAGUUAAGGAAAUAGAAAAAUAAGCCAAUUAUGAUCUGAGUCUUCUGACUAUGGCUCCAAAUUUAAUAAUACAAAUAUCUGUAUAUAAAACUUUUCCAAAGAUUCUGCCAGCCAGAUUCUAACCCAGAACUUCAAAAGCUUGUCUACUUAUCAAAGAUCCUCAGACUCUGCAUUUCCUGUGGGUCUUUGCUUUCGGCUACAGCUGCCCCAAGCACUGAGGAUGCAGGUGCUGAAACCCUUUCCUGUUACUUUUAUAGAUCCUUAAAAUAUACUUGAUUGAGCUUAAUUAUCUGAAAAAUAAGUGCCAAAAAUAGGUACACACUUAGUUCUAAUUUAAAAAUUAUUCACUAUGGCCAACAAUAUUUUUUUGAGAAUUACUAGUGACUUGCAAACAGUUUACUAUUUCUAACUAAACAAAUUAUAGUGUAUGAUUUAGUAUAACAGGUGAAAACCACCUAUAGGAUUUCAGAGCAAAAUUAACCAUGUAGUUUUAAAUUUAUACUUCAUCUGUCCUGUUCACAAUUUUUUCUCAUUUUUCAGAGGCUAUAAAUUUAUCAGUCAAUACAAUUAUUUAACAUUUGAAAAUUAUUUAAUUCUAUAAUGUCUUAGUCCACUUAUUUUCUAAUAUUAAAGAUGACAUUAGCUCUGUUCAAUUCUUACUUUAGCAGGAAGAUAUAACAAAACAAAGCAGAGCACAUUAAGCUAUGUUAAGUGCAGAAGUAGAAAGAAGGGGUAUAGUACUUCCAAAUCCAUUUAACAUGAGAUCCAUUUUUGAUAUGUAAGAUAUUUGUAUUCAAAGUAAUAUGCAACAGACAUCUCAUGAGCUAAUGAUAUAAUAGAAAGAGCCUGUUCAGUCUCGAACUCCUGGUCUCAAAGCUCAACGUUUUCAGAGGCAAGCUUCAGAGACUAUACCAGCAACAUAUCAAGGGAUUUUUAAAUUUAUUUUUAAGUUAAUUUUUUAUUUUUUGAUUUUUGAGACAGGGUCUCCCUAUAUAGCCCUGGCUGUUCUGGAAAGCAGGCUGAACUCGAGCUGACAGCCAUCCAUCUGCCUCUGCCUGGGAGUAGAGAUGCGUGCCACCAUACCUUGCUUGAGGGAUUUUUAAAAUACAGUACUGACUGACCUGAUGUAUUUUGUGGCAAGUAGUGUUAUAAGUAGUGAAAUUUAAGAAAUUUAAUCUAAAUGUUCCAUAUUUCCUUUAAAAAAAAAGACAUUUUAGUAGAAAAGGGAAAAUGAAAAGCAAUAGCAGCUAGGUAAUGUAAACCAAGAUUACACACUCACAGAAAAGGCAAAUCAAGGAGCAGAGUCCCUCAACACAGUUACUCAGCACAGUGAAGACACGAAGGACACACCGUGUAACAAACAGGGCCGCAGUUGUAAACUGUCGUUUCCCUUCUAGGACAUCAACAUUGCACUCUAGUGUUGGGAAGCAGCAGAGUUUACAAGAGUGGGUAGGAAACAGCUGUACAGGCUAGGAGUAAUUUACACAUUAAAAAAUUAAUUCUUUUCUAUUUAUAAUUUCAAACUUUCAUAAAGUAUACUAAGAAUUUCACAAAUUUCUUUUCAGUGAACUGAACUCUUUUUUGCAAUGAUAGGCCAUUAAAUAUUGCAUUCACACAAAAUGGACAUUUUUAAUCACCUAGAAUAGUGAAAAUAUUUUAAUUUGCAGUGUCUUUUUUUGUGACUGGAUAUAUUAAUGUUCCUCUGAGUAGUAUUGAUAAUUGGUUCAGAAGAGAAACUCAAUGAAAUAAGAAUAGUAUUUAUUCAUGGUGAUCAAUUAAAUUAUUUGCCUAAUUUAAGGAAACUAAAUACUAUGCAUAACUGAAUUUAUUUGCAAUUCUCAGUUUGAUUUGAGGUAACAGAAGAGAGUCUAAGUCUACCUGUGGAAUAUGUUGUUUUAUUUUCAAUGUUUAGGGUUACAUUUAAACAUAGUUGGUUUGGGAAAAUGACAUAUAAUUUUAAGUUAACCUGCAUGCUGUAAAUGUGUUUAAAUAAAGGAAAAUCUUUUUUGAAAUGUA
rnacentral:lncRNA from 1 species